UACGUAGGGUGCAAGCGUUAUCCGGAAUUAUUGGGCGUAAAGAGCUCGUAGGCGGUUUGUCGCGUCUGCUGUGAAAACUGGAGGCUCAACCUCCAGCCUGCAGUGGGUACGGGCAGACUAGAGUGCGGUAGGGGAGAUUGGAAUUCCUGGUGUAGCGGUGAAAUGCGUAGAGAUCGGUAGGAACACCAGUGGCGAAGGCGGUCUCCUGGGGCAUUCUUGACGCUGAGACGCGAAAGCUGGGGGAGCGAACGGG
rnacentral:rRNA from 1 species